CCAACUCCAAAUGGAAGAAUUCCGGGGCUCCUGAUCUCUCAAAUUGACAACAUCUUCAACCUAGACAAGACCUUUUCAGAAAAGAUAUUUCCCUAAAAUCAGAAAAGAGAACAAAACAGCAACCUUAAACUUGGGCUCAAGUAUUUCUGAAGGAAACCAUGCUUUACAUGCUCACAGCUGCAUGGACAUAGUGGUGGAGAAAAGGACAAGUCCUCUCCCCCCAGUCCUUUAUAGGAAGCAAUUCCAAGUAGAUCUGACCCAGUCCAUCUUGCUCAGGAGAUAAUAAUGAAGGUACUGUGUCUGGCAGAAGACAUUAUGGGAAGUCCUCCUUCAAUAUCGAAAGUGUCUCACCACAUAUAUUCUCUAUCCAAAAGCUCCAAAUGCUUUGUUCAACUAGCAUGACCCAAGUGAACAACAGAUUGAGAUGACAAGUGCUGGAAAAGAUCCCUCCUUUCUCACCAACUACAGCUCUUGCCCACACCCUGCUCUCUACACUUAGCCCUCCAUCAUGGAAAAAUGUCCUUUUCCCAAGAGAAGUAGAAAUAAGAAAAUUAGUAGCCUACAAUACAAAAUUAUGUAUGACUAAAGUAGGAUAUGAUCACAAAAAUUGAAAUAGAAAGACACUUCUUGCCUCCUCAUGCUUCACUAUGGGUGAUUUUUAGCCAGAUAAGCAUUCUUUCAUUUUUCAGAGACCACUCAAAAAUCUAGCAGAUGGUGCCAUUUGGAAAGGAAUUGUUCCAUUUUACAUAUGGUGCUUGUAAUCCUGCUACUGUUAAUUAAGCUCAUAGGUUCAUAGAUUUCAGUUUGGAAGGACUUGAGAGAUCAUGUAAUCCAACCCACAAGUUUUCAUAUGAGGAAACUAAACUCAGAGAAAGAAAUGGUUUACCUAAGGUCACAUGCAUACUAACAAAGUCUAGAGUCUAAGUACUAAUUGUCAUGUGUCAAUAUUAUAAAGUUCAGGGUAGGAAUUACAAAGACAAAGGUACAGCUGCCCAGAUAUUUAAUCUUGAUAUGCUAAGUUCAGUACAAGUUAGAUUAAAAUGUUAAAGGAUGAAUUCCUACACUGGCAGUCCAAAGUACUGUCUGUCCUCAAGAUCACAUUGUAACAUGCGUAGCAAAUUUUUUUUAAGAACAAAUUAAAUUUACAAAUGAAAGCUUUAGGAUUAUACCAAAUGCAUGGAAACAACUUUUUCUACUGGUCAAAAUAUAGCACUGUUUUUACUUCUGGAAGUGAUGUGUAAAUAAAAACAGGAAUGAUAUCUAGAGGGAUGAAGAAGAAUGAUCCUGACUAUUUAGUUUUUCUUUCUGGUUCAAAUUCAAUUUAGACUAUUCUAAAAAGGUUCAAAAAUAUUAUGGAAUAUUAUUGUUCUAUAAGAAAUGACCAGUAGGA